rnacentral:misc_RNA from 1 species
AACGCACAUUGCGCCCUUUGGUAUUCCGAAGGGCAUGCCUAUUCGAGCGUCAUUAUCAACCCUCAAGCUCGGCUUGUUAUUGGGUCCCUUAUCGUUAAAGAUAGGCCCGAAAGAUAAUGGCGGCGUCGUGAACGACCCCAGGUGCAGCGAGCUUAUAGCAUACACUGAGGUGGUCUUUGCGUCCCGGUCCUUUUUUAGUUAUAAACUAUAAUUCUAAGGUUGACCUCGGAUUAGGUAGGAAUACCCGCUGAACUUAA